AGUGAUACGAAGGCAUGUGUGAUCAGAGGGGGGGCGUGUACAGUCGUCAGUCCGCUCUUGGAGUUACCCGAAUCCAGUCAGUCACGGUGUUAUGUAUGGUUAAGCUAAUAAAGAUACUUGGAGAUACAACGGGCUCAAAACCCUAUUAUUCCAUAACACUACAGUAACGAGGAAUAAUUCAACCACAACCGUAUGAUGGAGAACUUCUCGGCCACAGCGAAUGUGGUACAACGUUUUUUUAAUUUUUUACUUGAACAUCAUUUCUUAUUUUGUGAUAUUUAAUGGAAAUGACAUCCAUUAUAACCAAUAGCAAGUUUGAAACUAAGCUCCCUGCCAACCUCCCUACAGACUAUUUAUGACUUCAAUCUAUCUAUCUAUCUAUAUCUAGGAUAAGCAUUUGUAAUCAUAUUUGUCUGUGAACUCUUCCAUUAAACUGAUGGCUUUUUAGCCGUAAAAAUGCAUCUUGACGAGGAGUUAUUUGCAGUUUGACUAAUUGCUUUUGUUGUUUCUUUUGUAGGCUUUGAAAAACCUGGCAAUGAAUUAUUCUGGCUGAGUUCUGUCGCUUAUCAAGCAAAAAUUUGAGUUGCAAUCAGAGUUCUUCAAAGAUCUCGACAAAUAUACUCCUCGCUUCCUGGAGAAGUUCAAAACCCAGAGGGGGAAAGUGUCGGACAGAAACUUGAAUAUCUGCAACAAGUCACACCUGGGAGUACAGAUGUGACUGGGAGGUGAACAGCAGUCCUCCGUGGCUCUCCCGUCAUCCUUGGAGAUGACAACGCAGACUUCUUCAAGAAUUUGUGUGAGUUUAGGAUGGCAUGAAGCUUCGACUUGACCCUAUGGAAACAGCAGAAGCUACGAACGGGUCCUGAUCGGGGACUCUGAUGACCUUCUGGACGUGUCCCACGCCUCCAUUGGGACCCUGACGGUGCUGAAGACAUUGUGGCCUCCUCACUCGCUGGACCUGGAGUCUACAACUACUGCCAUCGUUUUGGGAGGAACAGUCGUGAUGGGUGACCGUGAUAAUCUUCCCUGUGCCGUGUGGCUACUGUUCGGACUUAUUUACCCCUGAAUUUGGAGUAUCCUCAACGAGUGAGGAACACCUUCUGAAUUUAUUCAUAGAGUGCUUCUCACUUGGACCAAAAACCCUAAAAUACAAUCACUCAAAUAUCUACUGAUGCCAUAAGGGACUGUGUUCAUGAUGUGCAGUCAGGCCCGAGAACUUCACCCUUCUAUCUCCAAUUGAACUCUUUUCUAGAAAAUGUCUGUUUUUGUUGUUUUUCUCUCGUGAAAUUUAGCAAAUGCCGAAAACGCUGUGUUCAUCAUAUAUCUGCGUUACAAAACCUAAUCUGGCAACAUGUUCAGCGUUUUAAGCACGUUGUUUGAGUUUUAAAACAUGUGUUUUUCUUCUAAAUAAACGUUGUCUUCCAUUGUAA